GCCAGUGUGGUGUAGUGGUUUGACUGUUGGACUAUGACUCUGGAGACCAGGGUUCAUAUCUCUGUUCGGCCA
rnacentral:tRNA from 1 species